ensembl:lncRNA
CCAGGUAUGAGCAAGAUAUGAUAACAAUAUGAUCAACAGCAUUUCUAAAAUACUGCCAUUGUCUGACAUAACUCAUAGACCAGUGUCAGAUAUUGUUUUCAAGUGAUAAUAGGAUCGUGGAUAGCUAUGGUAAGUGAGGGAUGAUAAUCAAUUGCCAUUGGUUUCAUGCUCCAGGCCCCUUGCAGGGAUGGCAGACUUUGCAGCCCACGUAGAGACCAGGCUUCUCUUCCUGAGACUGAGACGUGUCCCGCCUGCAGUUGUCCCACUUCUCCCCACAGAGCAGUCUUCUGCCCAUGCUCUCAGCCUAGAGCAAGGCUCCCACAGGCAGCCUGAAAUACUCUGCACUGCACCAAUGGGUGCCUUCGCUCUCCUUGCAGUCAGUACACGUGGUGAGCUCCACCCAGCUGCUCUUGAAACGUCUUAUUUUUGCUGUGAUGCAUCAGGGAGUCAACCAUGUCUUCGGGAGUGCCCUUGGAAAUUUUCAAGAGAAAAAUUAUUGACUCGAGAUGGAGAAGAACUGGGACAAGAAUGCCCUUGCUUCCAGACUCUUCAUCACCCAUCUGUGAUUCUUACAUUCAUGUGACUUGAACCAGAAAGCCAUAAUGUAACCAAACGCAAUAAUCAGGCGGGGGAAAGAAGGGAAGGAGAUUCCUUUGGUGCUUUGCUGAAAGCUGAUGUGGAUAUGAUUGCUGCUGGUCACCUCCUGUGACCACGCAUGCGACUGCAUUGUGCCCAGCUGCUGCUGUGCCCAGCCAUUCCACAGGCUCUGUCAUCUCCUUGACAUCCCAUUGGAAGGGACUGUAGGAGGAAAGGGCCAUGUUUCAUGUGAGAG